rnacentral:rRNA from 1 species
CAAGGAAUUUUCGGCAAUGGGCGCAAGCCUGACCGAGCAACGCCGCGUGCGGGAUGACGGCCUUCGGGUUGUAAACCGCUUUUCGGGGGGACGACUACGACGGUACCCCCGGAAGAAGCCCCGGCUAACUCUGUGCCAGCAGCCGCGGUAAGACAGAGGGGGCGAGCGUUGUCCGGAGUUACUGGGCGUAAAGCGCGCGCAGGCGGUGGUCUCAGUGUCGUGUGAAAGCCCCCGGCUCAACCGGGGGAG